UACGUAGGGGGCAAGCGUUGUCCGGAAUCAUUGGGCGUAAAGAGCGUGUAGGCGGCCCGAUAAGUCCGCUGUGAAAGUCCAGGGCUCAACCCUGGAAUGCCGGUGGAUACUGUCGGGCUCGAGUCCGGAAGAGGUGAGUGGAAUUCCUGGUGUAGCGGUGAAAUGCGCAGAUAUCAGGAGGAACACCAAUUGCGAAGGCAGCUCGCUGGGACGUAACUGACGCUGAGACGCGAAAGCGUGGGGAGCAAACAGG
rnacentral:rRNA from 1 species